rnacentral:rRNA from 1 species
UACGGAGGGUGCGAGCGUUGUCCGGAAUUACUGGGCGUAAAGGGUUCGUAGGCGGUGCGGCAAGUCGGGAGUGAAAUCUCUGGGCUUAACUCAGGGGCUGCUUCCGAAACUGCCGUGCUUGAGUGCGGGAGAGGCGAGUGGAAUUGCAGGUGUAGCGGUGAAAUGCGUAGAUAUCUGCAGGAACACCCGUGGCGAAGGCGGCUCGCUGGACCGCAACUGACGCUGAGGAACGAAAGCUAGGGGAGCAAACAGG